GAUGAACGCUGGCGGCGUGCCUAAUACAUGCAAGUCGAGCGAACAGACGAGGAGCUUGCUCCUCUGACGUUAGCGGCGGACGGGUGAGUAACACGUGGAUAACCUACCUAUAAGACUGGGAUAACUUCGGGAAACCGGAGCUAAUACCGGAUAAUAUAUUGAACCGCAUGGUUCAAUAGUGAAAGACGGUUUUGCUGUCACUUAUAGAUGGAUCCGCGCCGCAUUAGCUAGUUGGUAAGGUAACGGCUUACCAAGGCAACGAUGCGUAGCCGACCUGAGAGGGUGAUCGGCCACACUGGAACUGAGACACGUUCCAGACUCCUACGGGAGGCAGCAGUAGGGAAUCUUCCGCAAUGGGCGAAAGCCUGACGGAGCAACGCCGCGUGAGUGAUGAAGGUCUUCGGAUCGUAAAACUCUGUUAUCAGGGAAGAACAAAUGUGUAAGUAACUAUGCACGUCUUGACGGUACCUAAUCAGAAAGCCACGGCUAACUACGUG
rnacentral:rRNA from 1 species